UCUAUCCUGCUCCUGACAGAAUGUUAAAUAGCCGCGGUAUUUUGACCGUGCAAAGGUAGCAUAAUCAUUAGUUUUUUAAUUGAAAACUUGUAUGAAUGGUUGGACAAAAAAAAAACUGUCUCUUCUAUUAAAAUUGAAAUUAACUUCCAAGUGAAAAGGCUUAGAUUUUCUAGAGGGACGAUAAGACCCUAUAAAGCUUUAUUGAUUGCCCGGAUUAAACCAACUUUUUAAAAUAAAAUUAAAUUUGGAAAAUUUAUUUGGUUGGGGCGACUAAAA
rnacentral:rRNA from 1 species